rnacentral:rRNA from 1 species
GACGAACGCUGGCGGCGUGCUUAACACAUGCAAGUCGAACGGAAAGGCCCUGCUUUUGUGGGGUGCUGGAGUGGCGAACGGGUGAGUAACACGUGAGUAACCUGCCCUUGACUUUGGGAUAACUUCAGGAAACUGGAGCUAAUACCGGCUAGGAGCUCCUGCUGCAUGGUGGGGGUUGGAAAGUUUCGGCGGUUGGGGAUGGACUCGCGGCUUAUCAGCUUGUUGGUGGGGUAGUGGCUUACCAAGGCCUUGACGGGUAGCCGGCCUGAGAGGGUGACCGGCCACAUUGGGACUGAGAUACGGCCCAGACUCCUACGGGAGGCAGCAGUGGGGAAUAUUGCACAAUGGGCGGAAGCCUGAUGCAGCAACGCCGCGUGCGGGAUGACGGCCUUCGGGUUGUAAACCGCUUUCGCCUGUGACGAAGCGUGAGUGACGGUAAUGGGUAAAGAAGCACCGGCUAACUACGUG